rnacentral:rRNA from 1 species
CCUACGGGGGGCAGCAGUGAGGAAUAUUGGUCAAUGGGCGAGAGCCUGAACCAGCCAUCCCGCGUGCAGGAUGACGGCCCUAUGGGUUGUAAACUGCUUUUCUGCUCCAAGAAACCUGAUUACGAGUAAUCAGUUGACGGUAGAGUAGGAAUAAGCAUCGGCUAACUCCGUGCCAGCAGCCGCGGUAAUACGGAGGAUGCAAGCGUUAUCCGGAUUCAUUGGGUUUAAAGGGUGCGCAGGUGGGAAUGUAAGUCAGUGGUGAAAUACUGCCGCUUAACGGUAGAACUGCCAUUGAUACUGCGUUUCUUGAGUAUGGUUGAGGUAGGUGGAAUGUGUUGUGUAGCGGUGAAAUGCAUAGAUAUGACACAGAACGCCGAUUGCGAAGGCAGCUUACUAAGCCAUUACUGACGCUGAGGCACGAAAGCGUGGGGAUCGAACAGGAUUAGAUACCCCAGUAGUC